rnacentral:rRNA from 1 species
CACGCAUGACACACUGCAUAUCAAUAAGCGGAGGAAAAGGCUGCGGAACUGAACGAUCGCUACCUACGCUUAGGAUGUUGACGAGACUGUCGAUCUCAUCUAUACAUGACUCUGCGCAUAUCAAUAAGCGGAGGAAAAGGCUGCGGAACUGAAGCGACCGCUACCUACGCUUAGGAUGUUGACGAGACUGUCGAUCUCAUCUAUACAUGACUCUGCGCAUAUCAAUAAGCGGAGGAAAAGUCAAUACCUACGCUUAGGAUGUUGACGAGACUGUCGAUCUCAUCUAUACAUGACUCUGUGCAUAUCAAUAAGCGGAGGAAAAGAAACUAACAAGGAUUCCCUUAGUAACGGCGAGUGAAGCGGGAAGAGCUCAAAUUUGAAAUCUUCAAGGUUCUACCUUGACGAAUCGUAGUUUAUAGAAGUGUUUUCUGUUAGUGGAGUGGCAAAAGUUCUUUGGAAUAGGACAUCAUAGAGGGUGAGAAUCCCGUAUUUGUACAGUUCCUUCCUAGCUGUUGUGAUACACUUUCAACGAGUCGGAUUGUUUGGAAGUGCAGUCCAAAAUGGGUGGUAAAUUUCAUCUAAAGCUAAAUAUUGGCGAGAGACCGAUAGCGAACAAGUACCGUGAGGGAAAGAUGAAAAGAACUUUGAAAAGAGAGUUAAACAGUACGUGAAAUUGUCAAAAGGGAAGCGUUUGACACCAGUGUUGUUUUUCCGAAAAUCAAUUACGAAUGUUUUAGUUUUUGAGGAGUUAUGACUUCAUCGGCUUGCUUCUUUCUUUACGAAACUUUCUUAAUGCACUUUUCGGUUAACAAGUCAACAUCAAUUUCUUUUGUUGUAAAAGGGUAUGAGGAAGGUGGCUUUCUUUUCGGAGAAAGUGUUUAUAGCCUUGUACCUCUGCAAUCGGAGAGAUUGAGGUCUGCAGCGUAGAUCCUUCGGGGUUAGAUACACUUGUGCUAAGUUAUAGCUUGUAUAGACAACUUGUUGACUAUGUUAGUCAUUGUAGCUUACUCGCUUAUGCUAUUUUACCUACGCUUAGGAUGUUGACGAGACUGUCGAUCUC